UGAGCAAUCUGCCCUUCACAUCGGAAUAACCAUUGGAAACGAUGGCUAAUACCGAAUAUGACUUCGGAUCGCAUGAUCUGAAGUGGAAAGCUCCGGCGGUGAAGGAUGAGCUCGCGGCCUAUCAGCUUGUUGGUGAGGCAAUAGCUCACCAAGGCGAUGACGGGUAGCCGGCCUAAGGAGGGUGACCGGCCACACUGGGACUGAGACACCGGCA
rnacentral:rRNA from 1 species